GCGGGAUUAGUUUAAUGGUAAAAUGGCUCUCUUCCAAAGAGCAGACAGGAGUUCGAUUCUCCUAUCCCGCA
rnacentral:tRNA from 1 species